rnacentral:rRNA from 1 species
CCUACGGGAGGCAGCAGUGAGGAAUAUUGGUCAAUGGGCGCGAGCCUGAACCAGCCAAGUAGCGUGAAGGAUGACUGCCCUACGGGUUGUCAACUUCUUUUAUAAAGGCAUAAAGUGAGGCACGUGUGCCUUUUUGUAUGUACUUUAUGAAUAAGGAUCGGCUAACUCAGUGCCAGCAGCCGCGGUAAUACGGAGGAUCCGAGCUUUAUCCGGCUUGAUUGGGUUUAAAGGGAGCGUAGUUGGGUUGUUAAGUCAGUGGUGAAAGUUUGCGGCUCAACCGUAAAAUUGCAAUUGAUACUGGCAGCCUUGAGUACAGUUGAGGUAGGCGGAAUUCGUGGUGUAGCGGUGAAAUGCUUAGAUAUCACGAAGAACUCCGAUUGCGAAGGCAGCUUACUAAACUGCCACUGACAUUGAUGCUCGAAAGUGUGGGUAUCAAACAGGAUUAGAUACCCGGGUAGUC